GUCCCGCCUGCCCAGUGACAUCAAGUUCAACGGCCGCGGUAUUCUGACCGUGCAAAGGUAGCGCAAUCAAUUGUCUUUUAAAUGAAGACCUGUAUGAAUGGCAUAACGAAGGCUUAACUGUCUCCUUUUCCAAGUCAAUGAAAUUGAUUUUCCCGUGCAGAAGCGGGAAUAACACCAUAAGACGAGAAGACCCUAUGGAGCUUUAGACAAAAACAGACCUUGCUAAGCACCCCCAUAAAGGACUAAGCCAAAUAGAACCUGUUUUAUGUCUUUGGUUGGGGCGACCGCGGGGAAAUAAAAAACCCCCAUGAGGACUGGAAACACUUUUCCACAGCCAAGAGCUCCCGCUCUAAGAAACAGAACAUCUGACCAUAAGAUCCGGCAAUGCCGAACAACGGACCGAGUUACCCUAGGGAUAACAGCGCAAUCCCCUUUAAGAGCCCUUAUCGACAAGGGGGUUUACGACCUCGAUGUUGGAUCAGGACAUCCUAAUGGUGCAGCCGCUAUUAAGGGUUCGUUUGUUCAACGAUUAANGUCCUACGUGAU
rnacentral:rRNA from 1 species